rnacentral:rRNA from 1 species
CCUACGGGAGGCAGCAGUGGGGAAUCUUGCGCAAUGGGCGAAAGCCUGACGCAGCCAUGCCGCGUGAAUGAUGAAGGUCUUAGGAUUGUAAAAUUCUUUCACCGGGGACGAUAAUGACGGUACCCGGAGAAGAAGCCCCGGCUAACUUCGUGCCAGCAGCCGCGGUAAUACGAAGGGGGCUAGCGUUGCUCGGAAUUACUGGGCGUAAAGGGAGCGUAGGCGGAUAGUUUAGUCAGAGGUGAAAGCCCAGGGCUCAACCUUGGAAUUGCCUUUGAUACUGGCUAUCUUGAGUGUGGGAGAGGUAUGUGGAACUCCGAGUGUAGAGGUGAAAUUCGUAGAUAUUCGGAAGAACACCAGUGGCGAAGGCGACAUACUGGCCCAUUACUGACGCUGAGGCUCGAAAGCGUGGGGAGCAAACAGGAUUAGAUACCCUGGUAGUCCACGCUGUAAACGAUGAGUGCUAGUUGUCGGCGAGCGAUGCUCGUCGGUGGACGCGAGCUACG